rnacentral:rRNA from 1 species
UACGUAGGCAGCGAGCGUUGUUCGGAAUUACUGGGCGUAAAGAGUGCGUAGGCGGUGCUCUAAGUUUGGUGGGAAAUCUCCCGGCUUAACUGGGAGGGUGCGCCGAAGACUGGAGUGCUUGAGUGUGGGAGAGGAAAGCGGAAUUCCUGGUGUAGCGGUGAAAUGCGUAGAUAUCAGGAGGAACACCUGCGGUGUAGACGGCUUUCUGGACCACGACUGACGCUGAGGCACGAAAGCGUGGGUAGCAAACAGG